ACACUGCUACUUACAGUUAGUUUUGCAGGUUUGCAUUUCAGCGUAUAUAUUUAUAUAUGGCUGUGCAAAUCCAUGCAAAACUGACUGUGAUAAUGU
ensembl:miRNA